ensembl:lncRNA
AAGAAUGCCCAGUGUAGUCUCUCCACAUUCUCUCGGACAAAGGGUUCAGUUGGCGGUGUGGCUGUCCCCCACACUCGCUCAGUGUGCAGCUGUGGACAGGAGGGAGACUGAAGGCGUGAUCAGAGGUGUGCAAAGUCAGCGCAGUGCAUUAGGUAUGAGGUCGGAAGGAGCACGUGAUAUGUGGCAUGACCACAGCUACUUUCUUGACUGGAAAACAUGGAAUGCCUCAGAAUGCUCCAUAUCUUUGUAAGAUGCUUAUUUUGCCUGCAAAAGAAAGUCAUGUGUCUGGAAUAAUAACAUGAAAUGAUAUGAGCAGUGGCGAUUCAAGAAAUUACUCUUCAAAAAAAGUCUAUAGACAUGGUCUCAGGAAAGCUAAAUGCCAAGCAUUAGCAUGAAGAGGCUUCAGGAAAGGUGGGACCAGACAUUCAAAGAAUGUUAAGAAUUGGAUGGAAUGGUGAUAAUUUUAGCAUUGAUGCUUAUUUGGAGUGAGGAAGAAAAACAUCUUAAGACAUCACUUGCUGCAAAAUAUUUGCCUCAUGACAGAUGGUUCCCCGAGGAUGACUUCAAAUUCUGAAAAUAAAAUGCAGCAGACCAGAUCGUAACGUCAGAAUUCAUUUUGGCAACUCUUGGAAAAGAAGAUUCAUUGUUUUGGUUGGUUUGUAAAGCUCUAAUGGUAAACUUCUGUUGUUUUCUAAAGAAAAGGUGGGCCCUUAGAGCACAUAAUAAAUAGUAACAUCGAUUUCACC